AUCCCUUUCCAUCUACAUUGGCUCUUGUGGGUUUGGAACCUGGCAGUCUCUCAGUACACAUCUGCCCAGCCUUCUCUCUCCAGCCAGGUUCCAGUAGAGCUGGGUAGAGCUUGUGGUGCAGCCUCUGGAGGACAGCUGCUCCAGCCAGCGCAUCACAGAGAGGCUGAGCCCUCACAUCCCUGCAGCUCAUCCUGGGACGGCUGCUGGCAAGCAGAGCUCACAAUUACAGGAGCAGAAGAAGGAGCUGGGGGCUCCUGAAACACUGGCUGGUGGUUGUGCUAUAGGGAGCUGACAGAUAGCAUACCUCUCUUCCGUAGCCAUUGAUCCUAUAGAGAUAGGAAACAGACUCCUUCAGCCCUGCAGAAAGCCUGAGGUCUCAGCUUCAUGCCUGUGCAUCACCCCAGACGGAGGACACCUCCAUCCCUUGUAAGUGGGAUCAGAGCAGGGCAUGGGAGUGGCAGAAGCCAUACAACAAGCUGCCAAGCACCCUGGGGUCACCACUUCUUCACCAUGACAAGCACAGAGAGUCUUCCUCUGGUGCUUUGGAAGGAUGGUGUGAGGGACACAUCAGCAGUGGGCACACCGGGUCCCAGCAGGACAGCUUUGGGUGGACCACCAGAGGCACUACAAGGGAAUGCUUUGCUCACAGCUCAGUGGGAAGCAGAAGGCAAUAGCAGAUUUGCACAGGGUGGGUCUAACAGAGGUGGUCCUUGAAAAUAGCUUGUGAACAGGCCAGUGCUGGUCUUCAUAUCCCAGGCAGCAAUAAGCUGCAGCCUCUGCAGGUUUGCGUCAGGGUGAUGGAGCUGGAGGACGUGGCUUUGACAGAGCUCAAGGUAACAAAACCACAUUGACCACUAUUGCCAUCAGCUGCUCCUUGUAGUAUAAGCUGUGCCUCUCAUGCCAUGGCUGUGUCCUCCAGCUGCCACAAGGAGUGGGCUUGGCUGAGAGGCUGCACGCUGGUGCUUCCACACUCCUUGUGCCAUGCAGAGACGUGGCAGGAGCUCGCAAGAAAGGCCGCUCUCCAGACUCAUCCUGCUUCUCUGGUAACAACUUGCAGACAUAAGAACGGCCUAAAAAUAGCAAAGUACAACAUCUGCAGUGAGGCAUUUCCUCCUCUCCCCCUUCCGACAGCUUUGUCACCUCUGAUGUCCCAUCAGCUCUUUCCUUUCCCAGUCUGCAUGGGACUGGGCAGCACAAACGUGUCCCCAUGUCUCUGCUGGGCCCCUCGUUUCCCACCAUGUUUCUCAAGGUCUCCAGGAUCCAGCCCCACAAUUACCCAGCCUGCAUCCUUCUUGGGACUGAGGAAAGCACAGGGGCCCCUUCCUGCCCUACAGCACAAUUCCUCUGGGUCUGCUAUUCACAAUAGCAGCGACCACAAUCUCCUACCUGGAACACAGAGAGCUUUCUGCCCGAGGCUAUUGCUCUCCAGGUGUUUCACUCCCAUUGAGUCGUCUUUGGGGUUAUUUUCCCACAACAGAGGAUAUGCAUUCACCGGAGGCUGGUUUACAUGGUGCUUCCUACCCACAGCUCCGGUCCUUCCGCGUUCCUUUGUGUUUCUUUUCUCAUCAGAGUUUGCAUCUCCUCCCAGUUUGAAGUUAUCUGCAAAUGUAAUUAGUGUGCUGCUAGCUCCCCUCCUUUACAUCAUUAAUGCUCCACCAGGGUGGAUUUAAAUCCCUCUCUCCCCUCUCCCCACGACUCCUGACUAUCAAGAGGCAUCAAACCAAUGGAGAUGCGCAGGCUCAGCAAGUUAUUAUUCUGUGCAAGCACGAUGCCCUCCCAGGACAACACUACAGGACGGCAUUUGCUUGGAUAAAACAGUUUGCCAACACUUGCUAUUGAGGAAAUUUGUGGUCUGUGCAUUGGGGAAUGACUCAGUGGAGCCAGGAGCUGUCUGAAAGCCCCCACUGAGGAUUUGCUCUGAGUACAGCCUGCGGGGCUGGUGGGUGGGCAAACAAUGUGGCUCAGGAGCUCCUGUUCAAUAAAAUGAAUUUGUCUCCAA
ensembl:lncRNA